rnacentral:rRNA from 1 species
UACACACCGCCCGUCACACCACGAAAGUUAGUUGCUCUUGAAGUCGCCGAGCUAACCGAAAGGAAGCAGGUGCCGACGGAGUGGCUAGCGAUUGGGGUG